GAUUUAUAAAGAAGAGGUGAGAGACAGGCUCUAUGACCCUCUGGCAACCUGGAAAAUCCAAGGUGCCAAUUCCUGCCGACAGAGAAUAUCCUCUUUCGGAAAUAUAAAUU
rnacentral:ncRNA from 2 species